AAUUUCUUGGAUGAGCUGGGACUCCAAGGAGCUAGGCACUGGUCCCUGAAACAGACAGGUGACAUCAGAAAUUUCCAGUUGGCUUGGUGAUUGCUCGGAUCCAAGAAGGAAGGACAAGGAGAAAGGCGUGGGAAGGAGGGUGUGGCAGCUGCCCCUUGGCCACCGGAAAACAUCAGGAACCACCGCACUGCCAGCAGCAGCCCCUGAAGUGCCUGGCUCAGGGCAGCCCCCAUCUCAAGAGGCGAGAGCCCUGGAUUGGAUCAAGGAUUCUUAGUUUGGAGAACAUAGAAACUUCUGGACUUGUGGAGACAUUUGGGUAGAAAGCAAAGCCCCUCCUCCGAAGGACUCUGUGUGUGUGUGUGUGUGUGUGAACCUGAGCUAGCAGAAGAUAUGAGGCAAAGGGGGCCCUGUGCCCCACGAAGGCUCCUCCUCCCAGAGCAGGGCCUUCUUGCUGGUGGCAGGCAUCCUCUGCGGCUGCCUCCUGCGACCUCUUCCCCGCCCAGCCCCUGCAGCCCAGCUUCCCGGCACCCUCCGCCCCUGCCCCCACCUGCACACCUGCGUGCCUUUGCACAGAGCCAUCCCACCUGUUUGCUCCAUUAUCAUCCAGCCGGAUACUGAGUGAAUAGUUAACCACACUUGGGGCAGACAGGAUCUUGGUUUUCCUGCUCCUUCUAAAGAGGCCGGCAUUGGAGUGUUGCAAGUGGCCGGGGAAGAGUAUUGGGCUCUGGCCCUGUAGAUUCUGGAGUGAUGCAGGAGUCAGUGUGAAUGUGCUUCUGGCUCUCGGGGCCACAAAAGGAGCUCUGGGCAGGAAAGCAGGCUGCUGAGUACUGGUCUUCUUUGUGCUCGGUUUGCUCACUACGUACCACACACGGAUGUGCGUCUGGAAGGGCAGUGAGUUCUGUUGCUUAUCCCAGCAGUCUUCUUCGACACACAUACACUCAGCUGUAAAGACCUUCUCCCUUCAGUGACACUGGGGACUUACUGGAUCUGCAUCAUGGUGCUUAGUAACAGACUAGCUGGCUACCAGGUAUGGCUGUGUUGCUGAGGACCUUUCUCCCCAGUAGGUAGUAAGAAGUCACCCACACACCUGGCUACUGCUCAAGGCUUCUCCGUCCCCUUUACUCUGUGACCCACACUCAAGUGUGGUUGGAAACACUUCCGAAGUAUCUGUCAUGCUCCAACCUUGUCCAACACACAGUCAGAAACGUUUGUGCUUUCUUACAUGCCAAGGCGAGGACAGCUUGCUUUUGUAGAAAGAGCAGAAGUGUCCCUGCACUGUGGACGAUGUGUCUGUGGCCAUUUCUUGACUUCAUUGUCUUCCAUGAGAGGAUGGGUACAUUUUUAGCAUCUUAGUUUCACCACAAAGUGCCCUCCUGAAGAUGUUUGGUGCUAUUGAAGCAUACAGAUUGUUUAUAGGUGUUCCUUUCCCUUUUUGGACACAGAUAAUGGUGCCAGACUUGUGUUUUGGUUCCUUUAGGUUUUAAGGAACCUUUGCAAAUGCUUCUCUAGCCCACAGUCACAGUGAAAGAAAGGAAACAGAGGCAGGAAACAGAGCCCGCAGCUGUCCCAAAGCUCAUUGUCAUCUAGCAUAGCCAGUAGCUGUAGGCAGUUUCCAGGGAUACAGGGAUAGCAAGAAUAAUGGCAUCAUGGUCACUCCAUGGCAGGAUUCACUGCUCCUGACUCUAGAAUUCUGCUGUUAUGCUGAGCUAGGGCUGGGGAAUUGACUGUCCCAGUAUGCCCAGAAUUAGGGUUCCUUCAGACAAGGGACUUUCAGGGCUAAACCUGGGACAGUCCUGGGCAAACUGGAAUAAUUGGCCGUCCUACCAGGUCACUCAAGGACUUCUGUUUCACUCCUAUAACCGAUGAGUGCACCCGGUUGGUUUGGCCCGUUGGCUUCAGGAGCUGUGUGUCUGAUUGCUUCAGUAGCCACUGCACAGCCUAUAGGGGGAUGCCAUUGGACCAGGCACCAAUCCUGACCAAAUCAGUUGCUUCCGGGAUGGUGGGGUUGCAUGUUACUGAACCAAAACCUGGAUAUGAUGAAAUGGCUGAGACCUUGUCCUUCUGAGGGCAGUGUGGAUAGACAGUAGGCAUGGCAGGAAUUCAGGGUAUUGGAAUUGCUCUCUAACACAUCCUACUUAAAACAGUGAUAUUAGCCCUUAGCAUUAAAAGCACGACAGUUUAUUAAGAAAUAACAACAAACACAGCCGCUGGGAAGAGUGGAAAAUAAAUAGACCAUGAUGUGUGUGUGUUCAUGUAUGUACGUAUGCACGCACACACAUUUUCACAUAUGCAUGUGCCGUGUAGAGUGAGUCAAGAACAAAAUUCUACAACUUUGCUAGACAGAGACAAAGAGCUGAAAUCUUGGCAAUGGUGCUGUCUGGGAAGCGAAGGAGUUGGCUCGAGGACUUCCUGAAAUUCCUUUGAACUCUAGAAUUAUUUAAAAUAUCAAGGGCGUGUAAAUUGGGGCUAAGUGUGUACUUUCCUUCCAAAGUCUCCUAGAUAACCUUUGAGUUCAAUUCAGAGAGUGUGGAGUGGGACUCCCGGAUCAUUCUUACCUUUCCAGAUCGCUGGGAUCAGGGAGUGGAACUUGCGGGGAGCAUAGAGCUACGCCAGCGUGGUGGUUGGUGUUCGUGACAAGAACAAUCAGCAGGCAAAUUACAGGUUCUUCUGCAGAUUAGGAAAGCCAGGUUUUCAGGAUUGCACAGCAUCCUGAAGUUGUCGCUGCUUGUCGGGGAUUCAGCCUCCAUCUUUCUGCUGAAAGACAGGCAUGAGUGUCCACGGAACACGGGCCUUCCGCUAAUCCCACUCAUGUUGCGUGGCGUGGCCACCACGAGGUAAUUACAUGCUAGGGUAGAGAGGAGCGUGAAGCAUGCAGAGACUGUUCUUGUUACUUGUGAGAUUCCCCAUGCAUCCCAGUGUGUGGUUCUGAGCCGGCUCUCCCUCCCUUCACUGCCCUAGGAGGAAUGCUAGCCCAGCUCCUUGGGCACCAUUUUUCUCUUUAAAAAGAUGAACGCAUUUCACCUGUUCCCUUCGUCUGUGUCCUGCCUUCGUUCUUUGCUUCCAGAAGAAUCAUGCUAUUGGGUCCACGGCAACAAUCUCCCCCUCCUCUCUUCUCAUCUCCGUAGAAUCCCAGAAUCCCAGAGGCUGAAGUGGUCCUUAGCAGAACUCUCCUCUGGAUGGAUUCUGCCUAAAGCAGGAAUCCCUUUCAAACAUCUGGUGUGGGAUCCUCCGGCUGGGGAGGCAGCUGUUACGCAGAGUUGGAGAUGACAUUGAAGACUGAAUGACACUGAACCUGGUGGGGAAGUGCAAGGAAUUUAAAGAGCAGUGUGUGUCUGUGAAGUGGCACAAUGUCGGUUUCAUGAGAUUCGAACGAACUGCAUUUUGCCCCAUCCCUGCAUCUGUCUGUCUCUUACUUCUAGUUCCAGGUGGGGAUCUGGAGCAGGUAAAAAGUACAGGCCAGGGAAGCUGAAGACUUCCGUUUUUAUCCCAGAAGGUCCCUCCUCUGAGCCCCUUUCAUGUAAAAUGAUGAGGUCAGGCCCAGGACCCAGAGCCCCUCUGACUUCCAUGAUGCUGUUAUAUUGGACCAUACGCCAUCAGCUUUCUUAGAGUUCAUGUCGUAAAGCUUUACUAUUCGUUCUGUAUUAGAAAAGCAUGUAAAGCUGGGUGUGGUGGCAUACUCCUGGAAACCCAGCACUCUGGGAGACUGAGGCAGGAGGUUUUUAAGUUCGAGCUGGGUAGUUUAGCCACUUUGUGAAAUUUUGUCUCAGAAAUAUAAAAACCCAAGAGGCUGGGGAUGCAGCUCAGUCAGUGCUCAGGUCCUGGGUUCAUGCCUAGAAGAGGAGCAUAGACAUUGCCCAUGGCACAGCGUCGUUAACCCUCCCCAGGCCGAACACAUCCUCCUUCAGUGCAUUAUGCACAUAGCUUAAUUUCACCGUAGCUCCCUCCGCCACACCCCCGGCUCACCAUGUGAGUGUGGUCAAGUGCUUACAGGAAGGAGCCUUUCUGUGGCAUUGAAACCCGACACACAGGAGCACUCUGGUCCUCAUCAGAUGGCCCAGGAAUCUGUGUGGGAAAACAUGAGCUGUGUUGCCAGAGAGACAAGCAGCUGUCAUAGGAAAGCAAGUCUCUGUGCUCCAGAGGCGAUGGUAAGGGACAUAGAUUUAAAGGACAUAGGGGGUGACUUUGGAAAGGCCCCUGACCUUGGGUAAGACCCCUACAUUAUUUCAGGCUGGAAGGGGGAGGCCUGAAGAGCGCCCGUGGAUAUUAACUAGUCCUCUUUUGCUUCAGCUAGCUCUAAGGUCAUGUGUAAGUCAUCAGAGCACUUUCUCUGGGUCUCAGUUUUUCUCAUCUGUGAAAUGGGAGAUGGAAGGAAAGAAGGUGGUACUGACGGUCCUCUAAGGCUCUCCCUUGGUCACUGUCCCAGCCUUACCUGACCCGACUGGUGUCUGACUGUCCAGUAGUGGCUUGUGUCUCUCUGCCUUUGGCCGCACAAGUCAAAAGCAGGCCCAUCUAGGGAAGUCCAUUACUGAAGGAUACUUCAAAGCUAUUUGCACAUGCCGUCAGUUGCUCUGAACACGAGUUUGUUGAGGGAGAAGGCAAAUAGACACACAGCUGAUGACAGGAGGGAGAAGCGGGGGACUGUUUACCCCCGGGUGACUGAGAAGCAAGAAAAAAAAACCUGCCUGCCGUCUUGACCAAUAAAUAAAAACUGGGAGCUCUGCGUGGCUCUAA